UCUUCUAGUCUCAUUUCUUCACGGUUUUGUCUUGAGAAGUAACUAUUAGAGUGUCCACCACCCUCAUCCUCCAGAAAAAGAUUUCUGCAAUGUGACCUUCUAAUCUCACUUUGCUACCAAAUGCUAGCACCUUUUAAACUACUUUUUUAAGCAGCCUGUGGAACAGAGUGUAACAGAGGAAGAUGGGACAAGAUGAGAAAAAAAGCAACAGAGAGGGAAAUAUUGGAGUUUGUGGCUAUCAGACAAAAGAGCAAAAAGUUUUCCCUCAUUUCUUACCCUGCUGGUGUUCAGACACAUCACUCUGAGCCAGCCAGGAAUGUGGGAUAGAGCUCAUUCCUCCUCAGGAAGGAUGUAGGUGACUUGGGAGGCAGCCAGAGGUAACGUUGCAGGCAGGAGACCUGUGGAAAGGAGAAGUGGCAGUAAAUACUGUGAAGGCUGAGAUCACCAGGGGUGGGAAAGGUGAACUGGAGUUGCUGGGGUGGAAGGGAGAGAUGCAGAAGUUGAUUAAAGACAGACAGGAUUCCUGAGAUCAUCAACACUUUGAAGAACUUACCCAUGUCCCAGAGGCAGGUUUGAAAGAGAAGUCUACAAAGACCCUUGCUUAUAUAAAAGUCUGAAAUGUGAAAACUUGUUCUAACCUAGAAAGUGGUCUCACACUCUGAAAAAACCAGAGAAAUGGGGCAAGAAGCAUGGCAUAAAAAGGCAAAAGGUGCAUGAACAGCA